AUCCUCAGGCUCAUGAGCGUGAUGACUAGGUGCUCAUGCUCCAUGCAUGACAUGUGCCUGCUUUGAACCUUGUUACGAUGUCGGCACAUUACCCGUCUGACG
rfam:Cavia porcellus supercont2_6 genomic scaffold, whole genome shotgun sequence.